ensembl:lncRNA
UGAACUGGGGAACAAAAUGCCCUACUUACAUACUGGUGAAAUGAGACAGCAAAGUAUUUCAGUCUUGAGUCAGAGGGGGGCGCUUGACUGGAGGCUGUGAAAUGGGGAACUAAAUAUCUGACUAGGGUCUUCAGGAGGAAGGGGAUCUAAACCCCCAGUGGCAGCCUUGAGUGAAAGGGGAGACGAAAGGCCUGGUGAGAUGGGGAACUGAAGGGUCUGACCGCAGGUUUGAGUGAGAUGGGGAACUGAAGGGUCUGACCGCAGGUUUGAGUGAGAUGGGGAACUGAAGGGUCUGACUGCAGGUUUGAGUGAGAUGGGGAACUGAAGGCCUCACCAGAGAGGGUAGGAUGGGACUGACUUCAGGAUUGAGAG